ACGACGAGCCGACCACCAUCCGCGACCACCGUGCCCCUUGCGUCGCGCCUCCAAGCCCGACCCUCUUUCGUCGCUCCACUGCCAGUGACGGGGACAUCCACCGACGGUGCUCCAUCUCCUCGCUGCUGCAGUUCGUCACCACCUCUCGUCCUCUUCGAGGUUGGUGUCGGGUCGCUGCCUGCUGUUCUUUGGGUGUUGUACCUUGCAACUGAAUCCUGAAGAUGCUUUCUAUACUGGAAUCUGAACAUGAUGAGGGAUUGAAGGACAAAGACGAUGCAUUUAUGAGUCUAGAUGCAGAGGUAGAUGCAGAAGCAGAUGCAGAAGCAGCGGCUGCAGAAGCAGGAGACGAAUCAUUCUUACGUAGCAUCAUUGAAGAUGAAGAUACGGAAGCAAAAGUUGGUGAAGGUGCCAAUCCAAAAGCUGCUCAAGAUGACAAGCCAAAAGGACGGAAGCAAAUGGCGUCAAGAUCACAAAUCUGGGAGCAUUUUACCAAAGUUUUUGAUGACAAGGGGUUAGUAAAGGAAGGAAAAUGCAAGUAUUGUGACCAACCAAUUCAAGCUACUACAUCAAUCAAUGGGACAACAGCAAUGCGCAGGCACUUUGGUACAUGCAAGCGCAAUCCAAAUAAGAAAAUGGAUCCAGAUCAGACCACUUUGCAAGCAACUCCAGGAGAUGGCAUCAAUACUUGGAGAUAUCUAGAUGAGAUAUCUAGAUGGAUUGAAAAUGGAUCCAAUCCAAAUAAGAAAGUUCAUUUCAGUCGCUUGCCCCCGCUUUAGUCCACCAUCAAGAAGAACUUGUACCAGGGACACUGAGAAGGUCAACAGACCCGGUCGACAUCAAGGAGAACUUGGAAGAAUUAGAAGUGCUAGAAAAAGAGUUGAUUGAAGAAUUUGGUGACAAGGUGAAGGGAAAGCGCAAGUUCAAUGGUGGUGUUGUUGCUUCUUCCACGGCCAAGUCAAACAAGUGUGCAAGUCGACCAACAAAGUGACAUCCACGUCUACUCAUGGCUGAACUAA